UUUAGCGUAUUUCUUCAGUUGGGUAUCACUAGUGCAAAUAUUUACAAAUCUAUUUGUAGAUUUUAUUCUUCUAUCCUAAGCUAAAAACUAUAAAUGUCAUUGGCAUAUAUAGCUGUAAAGAUAAGAAGGCGAAAUAACCUGUAAAGCAUAUAUAGCUGAUCCAAAGUAAAAUAAAGUUCGAAAAGAGAAAAAGAAGACUUAUCCAUAAAGCAUCUCCCUUUACUUGUGAAUGACUCCACAGAGUCUACACAAAAGCUUUUAUGGAAUAUGGAUAACAUGGAUGAAAUCAUAAAGAAAACUUCUCAAAUAAAGUAAGAAUUCAAAGUUAUUAUCUUCCAUAGAUAAGAAAAAUUGGUUUACCAACAAAAAAAAAUAAAAAUAAAAAAUCUCUAGCUCCCGCCUUGCUUUCAAAUAAAAUUUUACUCUAAAAGGUAGUUGGUGUUGAAAAAAUAUUAUAUCUCAAUAAGAAUAAUAAUAAUCUCAUUAAUUUCCUUAAAUGUCUACCAUUCAAUUUGGUCAAACAUGUUGCCCAACGUCUCACUAUUCAAUUUGGCCAAAUAAAUUAUAUUGAUUGUCAAUUGCCUUUAUGGCUUUUACUCAUCUUUCAUUAGCUUUUAAUCCCUUAUAUUAACGUUAGAAAAGAACUUCUUUAUGGGAAUGAGAUUUCAUUCUGAUAGUGAGUUCUUUCACUGGAUAUAUUCUCUAAUAUUAUGUUCAUCCUAGUAGAAAAACAGUGAAACAAUUUCUUCUCUUUUCUUUUGUUGGGUUCUCUACUUUGUGAAAUCUUUAUUAGAUUCUGAUUCAUAGUUUUAUACUAGAAGAGCUUGUUGAAUCCCGAGAGAUACACCCAUACCAGGUGAAAUAUCCUUAAGGACAACGUCUUCAUUGACAUGCCUCAAACUUUCAAGAAUUUCCUACAAGGUUCUGAUACGAUGUUGUCAAUAAUAUCAUCAGCUAAAGUGACAUCAGUGCUGAUAACAUCAACAUCAUUUCUUCCCCAGUUUAUAAAGUCUUCAUCUUCCUCAAAUGUACACAAGAAAUCAUUACAAGCAUCUUGUUGAAAAAUAUCUUCACUUACAGCACCUCCAGUAAAAUAGGUAGAAUGACCAUUCAAGACAAUUGACCAAUUUGGAUGAAGAUUAUCCUUGACAUAAAAAACUUGUUUGAUUGAGAUGCAAGCACACAUGGUUCAUUUGUUGCUAGUUUUCGCUUAGUAUUGACACUAACAACACCAUGUUUAUCUAUUUUCACUCCUCUUCCUACGUGAUCAACGUCCCACCAGUCACAUUUAAACAAAACAAUCCACUUACUUUUGAAGUAUUGAAGUUCUACUAUUUCAGUUAGAACACCAUAAUAAUUAAUAUUUAGACCAUUCACUACUCCUCUUACUAAAACCCCACUAUUUUGCUUCACCCUAUUUUCCUCGAGUAGUUUAGUGUGAAACCUGAAACCAUUUAUUUCAUAACCCUUGAAUCUUUGAACUCCAUUAAAAGGACCUCUAGCCAAAGAAUACAACUCACAACUUGCAAGUGAAUUCCCUUCUCUGUGCAUUUGUACAAUUUGUAUGGUAUUACAAAUUGAAUUCAACACCUGUUCUUUGAGUGUUUAAUAGCUGGAGCUAUCUGGAAGAAAUUCAUGGCAUGGGUAUCCAAAGAAGUGUAUGGGGGUGGAGGGAAGAGCUGCAAUGGGCUGAAAGGCAUCACAUGGGAAGGAACAAAGCUAGUCAACUUUAUAGAGUCUCACUAGCAGUUGCAACUUACAAUGUUUCGCAAGAGAGGAUUGGUCGAUUUUUCGGAAGCAACAGAGAGCAAUUGAAAGCAUGGUAAGAAGGAUUAUUCAGGAAAUCUACUAUAGAGCUCAUUUAAAUGCCAAACUAGCUACUUAUGUCUAGCACUUUGAUGUAUAUCCUAGUUGACUAAGUAGAUCACCUGAAAGAGUAGAAAGACCUUAGGUCUUGAGGUUUCAUAUGUUGCACUAAGUUUGGGACUUUGUCCAGAAAGGUGUUUGUUCUUUGUUGCCUUUGUUUGGGCUUGUGCUGUAACGUUUCACUUGGUAAUAAAAUAGUUUAUUUACCAAAAA